rnacentral:rRNA from 1 species
UACGUAGGUGGCAAGCGUUGUCCGGAAUCAUUGGGCGUAAAGAGCGUGUAGGCGGCCAGAUAAGUCCGCUGUGAAAUCUCGAGGCUCAACUUCGAGCUGUCGGUGGAAACUAUCUGGCUAGAGUCCGGAAGAGGAGAAUGGAAUUCCUGGUGUAGCGGUGAAAUGCGCAGAUAUCAGGAAGAACACCCGUGGCGAAGGCGGUUCUCUGGGACGGUACUGACGCUGGAGACGCGAAAGCGUGGGGAGCGAACAGG